rnacentral:snRNA from 1 species
GGAUGUGAGGGCGAUCUGGCUGCGACAUCUGUCACCCCGUUGAUCACCAGGGUUGAUUCAGCUGAUCUGGGUGGUUAGGUGGGUGUCCUCUUCCUCCCUCAUUGCUCCAUAUGCGUCCCUCCCGAAGCUGCACCGCAGUCGAAGAGGAUGACCAUCCCCAGUAGAGGAGGACCAGUCUUCGGUCAAGGGUAUAUCAGUAGCUGCACUCCUGUGUUAGAACCUCCAAACAAGCUCUCAAGGUCCAUUAGAUUUAAUGAAAACCAUAAGCCAGACCAUAAAUAGUGUGGCAUUUU